UUCCUUUCGUUCCAAUGAUGCU
rnacentral:miRNA from 1 species